rnacentral:rRNA from 1 species
AAUCAACGCUGGCGGCGUGCCUAACACAUGCAAGUCGAACGAGAAAGUGGUAGCAAUACCAUGAGUAAAGUGGCGCACGGGUGAGUAACACGUGACUAACCUACCUUGGAGUUCGGAAUAACCUCGGGAAACCGGGGCUAAUACCGGAUAACACCUACGGGUCAAAGGAGCAAUUCGCUCUGAGAGGGGGUCGCGGCUGAUUAGCUAGUUGGCAGGGUAAUGGCCUACCAAGGCGACGAUCAGUAUCCGGCCUGAGAGGGCGCACGGACACACUGGAACUGAAACACGGUCCAGACUCCUACGGGAGGCAGCAGUGGGGAAUUUUGCACAAUGGGGGAAACCCUGAUGCAGCAACGCCGCGUGGAGGAUGAAGGUCUUUGGAUUGUAAACUCCUUUCGACCGGGACGAUAAUGACGGUACCGGGAGAAGAAGC